ACAACUCAGGUCUGUGGUUGCAAGUCGAUGCCAGUUGCAGGCGAAACGAUCCACGUAAGCAGCAAAAUUUUGCUGUGAGCACGGUGCAGCUUAGAAGUAAGUCCUGCCGCAAAAAAUUAUGGGCGAGAGAGGUAGUAGUGGGGAGCGGAAUGCUUAGGAGCGAACCUUCCAGCAGGCGAGUGUGGGGGCGAAAACCAGGUCAGCUGAGUUGU
rnacentral:ncRNA from 1 species